GUGGGUGGCGUCCAACUGGCCAAAGGCAGACUGACAACACCUACUCUGCACAUAUUUAAAGAGUGUGUGCUUCAAACUCAGACCUAGAACCAGACUGGUGAUGAAGAUAGAUAGGGCAAAACAGAUGCAUAUGCUGCGUGCAAGAACUAUUUGAAGUCUGACAAAGAGAAGCAGGAGCUGUUUAUAACAGAGACUUCCUGAUAAUAAUAUAAAGGUAUUAAGAUCAGAAUACCAAAGCACAGAGAAGCUGAAACAUAAGACUAACAGGAAAAAGAAGAACCUCAGGGGUCGACAAUGCCUUCCUCUUCCUGCUGCAAACCUGUACCUGUGGCCCUGGGGCCUCUGGAAGAAUCCAGUACCCUAACAACAUCCUACUCUUCCUCUCCACCUCCCUCUCCAACUCGGUUUCGCCGUCCCCGUCGGGUCCUGUAUCCAGCCUUUCAGAGCAGGAGGCCUCCACUCAGGGAAGCUCCUGACAAGGCCUGUCGCUGUCUUCUGUUCCUGUCUGUGCUCGUCUUCCUGCAGAUCUACACAGAGGAGCCACACACCUGCACAGUGGUUGAGAGCCAAUGCCCAGAUCCAGCAGUGUGUCAACUUGAGGCUGGUGAUGGGAGCCUAGGCACAUCCCAAGGAUGGACAGCGGAGGAGCCCUGGAGGAUUCAAACAGUGGAUCGAGGAUCAGAGACACAGGUGGAGUGUGUGGUGGCAUGAUGGAGGACAAAGACACUAAAUGCGAACUGAGUGAAUGAGAAAAGGGUAAAAGAGAGGAAUAGCCACACAGAUAAGGUUAAGUUCGAAUACUGUGUGGAGAUGGUUUCCUCUUAAAAAACAUUUCUAGUUUGAUUGGGGAUGGACAGUGGUGGUUUCCAAAGAAUGUGCUCCACCUGUUCUGCCACUGCCACCGCCACUUAGAUGACACUCCAGCUCUACAACAGCAGUUAUGUGGGACAGUGAAACGUGGAUGAGUACAGUCAAAACUGAUAAGAAGGGUAAUAUUUUCCACUGAAGAUAUGUCAGGCAGAUCUCAAAGUUAAACUGGUGUGACCACAUUACAAACAAAGAAAUGUGGAGAAGGACGAAAGCAUGAAAUAGAUGUCACCAGAAGAGAAACAGAAAGGAGAAAGGCCUAAGCUUACAUGGUGUACAAUGUGGCUCAAAGACUUGAAGCAAAUCAGUAUUGCCCGGCAAAGACACAGGAUGACCUAUAGUAAAUAAUAAUGUUCAGUCAAAGUCUUACGUUUUAACAUUUCAAAUAAAUGUAACUAUUUUGUGAAUAUUUCUGUCUGAGUGUGUAACCCUGUGGUAAAAAGUACAUAUUUAUUCAGAGAGUGUAUUUUUAUAUAGCAGCACCAUCCGUACUUUGUUUGCUACACUCAUUUUAACACUUAUCAUCUGCUUAUUUAAAAUAGAGAAAAAUUGAAUAUGCAAAUGCCUCCAUAAAUACGACCGUGCCUUACAGUACC